rnacentral:rRNA from 1 species
GGACGACGCUGGCGGCGUGCCUAACACAUGCAAGUCGAGCGGAGUCGGUAAGAGGAAGUUUCGGAUGGAAUCUUAUGAUUAGCGGCGGACGGGUGAGUAACGCGUGAGCGACCAACCUUGCACAGGGGGAUAACGGACCGAAAGGUUCACUAAUACCGCAUGAGACCACGGUGUUGCAUGACACAGAGGUCAAAGGAGCAAUCCGGUGCAAGACGGGCUCGCGUCCGAUUAGGUAGUUGGAGGGUAACGGCCCACCAAGCCUAUGAUCGGUAGCCGACCUGAGAGGGUGAUCGGCCACAUUGGAACUGAGAUACGGUCCAAACUCCUACGGGAGGCAGCAGUGGGGAAUAUUGGGCAAAUGGGGGAAACCCUGACCCAGCAACGCCGCGUGAAGGAAGAAGGUUUUCGGAUUGUAAACUUCUGUCCUUGGUGAAGAGAAGAAGACGGUAGCCAAGGAGGAAGCCCCGGCUAACUACGUGCCAGCAGCGGC